AUGUCUCGAGGAGCAUGCCUAAUCAAGGUAUCUUUUCAUCCACAGUUACACCUCCAGAUGGCGCUAGAGCAGCAUCCAAACUGCAUGAACCUGCUGCUCCCCUUAUGGGCAUUUCCAUCCAGCCCCCUCAACAGACGUCCACUCUGCCCCCCACCUCAAAGAAGCUGGUAGCUGCUUCUGAGAGGGAACAGAAGCCAGCAGGGCGAGAGG